CGGCGGCCUGGACGUAGGUGCGCGCCCGGCCCGCCAUGACCGCGCCGAGCACGUCGAACGGCUCGGGUUCCGCCGCCGGAGCCGCCGG
rnacentral:tRNA from 1 species